CCAUCCCCUCAAGCUUCCGCUUGGCUGGUUGGGCCGGCGUCCACCCGUGGCUCCCGCCGUGGGGGGACGGGCCCGAAAGGCAGUGGCGGCUCCUGGGGACUUGGGUCCCUUGGGCGGUGAUGCAUGGGUCUCUUCAUCCACCGUCCCGGCCGGCCACGCCCCGGGAGCCUGUCGAGUGAUCGGUCUUCCCCUUUA
rnacentral:misc_RNA from 1 species